UGGUUUUCGCUAACCGCAAGUAUCGAGUAGCCGGAAGAGACGUGUGCGCGCGCAAUCGUGAAUUCUUUCAUUCUGCUGGCUGUCAAGUCUCUAGUCAAGGGACUGGCUUUUUAUUUUCGCAAUUUUUGGAAUAAUUCUAAAAAUUGAGAACUCUCAGCCAAAUUUAAGUGCUAGAAUUGAAUAAAACAAAAUGCCGAAGAAUAAAGGAAAAGGAGGUAAAAAUCGUAGGAGGGGAAAGAAUGAAAAUGAAACAGAAAAACGUGAAUUGGUAUUCAAAGAAGAUGGACAAGAAUAUGCACAAGUCACAAAAAUGUUGGGUAACGGUAGGCUAGAGGCUAUGUGUUUUGAUGGUGUCAAGAGGUUAUGUCAUAUUAGAGGGAAACUUAGAAAGAAGGUUUGGAUAAAUCAAGGUGACAUUAUUCUCAUAGGUCUCAGAGAGUACCAAGAUGCCAAAGCAGAUGUGAUUCUAAAAUACACCCCUGAUGAAGCUCGUAAUCUAAAAACAUAUGGUGAAUUCCCAGAAUCUGUUAGAAUUAAUGAAACCGUUACAUUCGUCGAAGAAGGUUUUGAUGAAGAUAUUGAAUUUGGUGAUGACAUCAGUUCAGCAGACGAAGCUGACCCUGUUGAUGGCAUCUGAUGACAUGAAGACGAUGAUAGUAGGUCAGGCCAAUAAAGAUAGUAAUACAGCUAGAAGCCUAGAAGCUACGAAAAACAUAAAAAAACUUACCUCAAUUUCACCAAAGCAAAAAGAAUACCAAUGUGUACCUAUAAUCACCACAAGCAGAUCUUGAAUGGGUUAUCUCAGAACCGGAUUUCAUCAUGUACCAGAACACUUUGAAAGACCUAUGUGAUUGUAGAUAUUUAUAUUAAUAAUUUAUCAUAGGUUAAUGUAUCAAUAGAUUUUUUGGCCUGACCACUUGCUACCAAAAAAAUGUCAUUUUCUUGCAGCCCUCUCUCAUAGCAUCUCAACCCUUAGAAAAAUAAUCAUUUUUUAUAAUUAACGAUUAAAAUCAUUUUAUCAAAUUAAUGCAAUUUUUUCAAACUGAUAUUUGUGGAUGUUUCUUAUGUGAAAGAAAGUUCUAGGGAUAUGUUUAUAGAUAUAGAACUGUUAUAUAUGUGUAAUAUUUUGUACAAUUCGGUUUUUCUGUUUUUUAAUGGCAACAAAAAUGUAAAAGCGUAAAUAAACAUCAUAAAAUAGU